rnacentral:misc_RNA from 1 species
GAAAUGCGAUAAGUAGUGUGAAUUGCAGAAUUUAGUGAAUCAUCGAAUCUUUGAACGCACAUUGCGCCCUUCGGUAUUCCGUUGGGCAUGCCUGUUCGAGCGUCAUUUAACCCUUCAAGCUCUGCUUGGUGUUGGGCGUUUGUCUCUUGUGGACUCGCCUCAAAUUCAUUGGCAGCCGGUAAGUUGGCUUCGUGCGCAGCACAUUGCGUCGCGACUCCAGCGUGCCUCCUCCCAUCAAGACCUUCUAUCACUUUGACCUCGGAUCAGGUAGGGAUACCCGCUGAACUUAA